AUUGAACGCUGGCGGCAGUCCUCACACAUGCAAGUCGAACGAGUGGCGGACGGGUGAGUAAUGUCUGGGAAACUGCCCGAUGGAGGGGGAUAACUACUGGAAACGGUAGCUCAUACCGCAUACCAUCGGAUGUGCCCAGAUGGGAUUAGCUAGUAGGUGGGGUAAUGGCUCACCUAGGCCACGAUGCCUAGCUGGUCUGAGAGGAUGACCAGCCAAACUGGAACUGAGACACGGUCCAGACUCCUACGGGAGGCAGCAGUGGGGAAUAUUGCACAAUGGGCGCAAGCCUGAUGCAGCCAUGCCGCGUGUAUGAAGAAGGCCUUCGGGUUGUAAAGUACUUUCAGCGGGGAGGCGUUACCCGCAGAAGAAGCACCGGCUAACUCCGGGCCAGCAGCCGCGGUAAUUC
rnacentral:rRNA from 1 species